rnacentral:rRNA from 1 species
GACGAACGCUGGCGGCGUGCCUAAUACAUGCAAGUAGAACGCUGAAGGAGGAGCUUGCUUCUCUGGAUGAGUUGCGAACGGGUGAGUAACGCGUAGGUAACCUGCCUGGUAGCGGGGGAUAACUAUUGGAAACGAUAGCUAAUACCGCAUAAGAGUAGAUGUUGCAUGACAUUUGCUUAAAAGGUGCAAUUGCAUCACUACCAGAUGGACCUGCGUUGUAUUAGCUAGUUGGUGGGGUAACGGCUCACCAAGGCGACGAUACAUAGCCGACCUGAGAGGGUGAUCGGCCACACUGGGACUGAGACACGGCCCAGAAUCCUACGGGAGGGAGCAGGAGGGAAUCUUUGGCAAUGGAGCGAAGUCUGACCGAGGAACGCCGGGGGAGGGAAGAAGGUUUUCGGAUCGUAAAGCUCUGUUGUAAGAGAAGAAAGAGAGGGAGAGUGGAAAGUGCACACUGUGACGGUAUCUUACCAGAAAGCGACGGCUAACUACGUG